AUGAUGGUGACUUAACCCUCACAGAGUACCAAUUGGAGGGCAAGUCUGGUGCCAGCAGCCGCGGUAAUUCCAGCUCCAAUAGCGUAUAUUAAACUUGUUGCAGUUAAAAAGCUCGUAGUUGAAUUUCAGCGUUUCGCGUGUGCCUCUUUUGGCCCAUCUCGUCUCGCUUUUUUUAUUACUUUGAGAAAAUUAGAGUGUUUCAAGCAGGCUUUUGUCUUGAAUACUUGAGCAUGGAAUAAUAGAGUAGGACCUUGGUUCUAUUUUGUUGGUUUUGUUACCUUGGUAAUGGUUAAUAGGAACGGUUGGGGGCAUUCGUAUUUAACUGUCAGAGGUGAAAUUCUUA
rnacentral:rRNA from 1 species